CACGUAGUUAGCCGGGGCUUCUUAGUCAGGUACCGUCAUUUCCUUCUUCCCUGCUGAUAGAGCUUUACAUACCGAAAUACUUCUUCACUCACGCGGCGUCGCUGGAUCAGGGUUCCCCCCAUUGUCCAAUAUUCCCCACUGCUGCCUCCCGUAGGAGUUUGGGCCGUGUCUCAGUCCCAAUGUGGCCGUCCACCCUCUCAGGCCGGCUACUGAUCGUCGCCUUGGUGGGCCGUUACCCCGCCAACAAGCUAAUCAGACGCGGGUCCAUCUUAUACCACCGGAGUUUUUCACACUGGGCCAUGCAGCCCCGUGCGCUAUGCGGUAUUAGCACCUAUUUCUAAGUGUUAUCCCCCUGUAUAAGGCAGGUUACCCACGCGUUACUCACCCGUCCGCCACUAAGAUGCCAGCAUCUUGGCGCUUAGUAAACUAACCGCCUCAAAAAUGGCAUCCCCGUCGACUUGCAUGUGUUAAGCACGCCGCCAGCCGUUCAUCCCGAGCCCAGGAUCAAACUCU
rnacentral:rRNA from 1 species